CAGAGUAAUCUGUGGUGAAAAGCUACACAAAUCUGUCUACCUGGUUUUCCUACAAAGCUAAGAUCCAGAACAGUAUGUCCUGUGCGGAGAGAUCAAGCCUGCAAACUGCCAUGAAGCAUAUAGCAGUGUUGGUUCUCAUUUCAUUUGCAGCACUCCUUUUGCACUUCUUAACUUUUCAAACAAUUAAUUUUCGUAAAUGCAGCUCAAAUACAGUAGCUGUCAUUUUCUUGUCCUUUUUUGGCCCUGGCCUGGCUUUUCUGGCCUUAGCAGUUGGUUUGCAAAAACGACGCAUUUUUUGUAACCUGCCAUCCACACUUCUGCGGGGUCCUGGACAAACAUUCUUCUGGAAGAGUAUCUUUCUGUCUGUCUACCCCUCCUUGUACUGGGUGGCCAUGCUGAUGAUAGACGGUCAAUACUACAGGAGUUACUCAAUGUGCAAGGAACCUGACAGAAGAGAUUAUUUUGAUUUUCAACAUGAUAAGGCAGAAGAAUUUCAUGUUAAAUCUCAGAUGAUAGGAUUGAUUCUGAUCCUGCUCCUUGCUUCCCUGGUUCUGCUGUACUUCAUCAUUGAGCGCUGCUGCAGGCCUGUGGCCUGGCGGCUGGAGGAACAACGUGCACUUGCCCUCCAGAAAGAGCAAGAUGAGUGUGUUGCGAGGUUUGCUCUGGCCUUGGCUAAGCGUACAGUUGCCCAGCAGGAACACCACCUUUACGAAACCCCUCUCCAACAGCAGCCUAACAUCGCAGGUCCUGCAAUACCAGCCAGUGUACCCAGAAGCCUUACCGGAUAUGAUGUUGUCCACAUAAUCAACCACCCACCAGUUAAUACACUUUAUGGCUAAAAUGAAUGAUCAAAAUAAUUAAACAAAUGAGUUCUAUGUUCUUAGCAUCUUUUUAUUUCCUCUAAACUUACAAUAACAAUUACUGUAAAAUGUCCAUAUCCAGACGUGCAGUUGCUUUUGUUGUUUUGCUGAAACAGAACAAGAAAAUCUAAUUAUGUUUGAAGAAUAUGAAGAUUGUAAAUGUCAUUUGUAUUUAAAUGUAUGGUGUUCAAGAAAUUAAGACAACUCCUCAAUUUAUUACAUUUUUAUUAAAUCUGGGAGCCAGAUUUGUAGUUCAUUCAAUUAAUGCUCAUUCAAUUAAUGCUAUAAUCUAAUAAUCAUGAUCUAAUUUUAGCCAAGACCUAAUACAAAUAUAUAAUUCUGCAGUGGUGGCUUGCUAGCUAGUCACUGACUGACUAUUCUGGGGACUGCUAGAACAGCCUGUUGCUUAUGUUGCCUAUAAUAAUGCCUUGCGUACUUUUGUAAUUGGAAUGUUGUGUGUGGGGAUCGCCUUUGGGCACUCCCAUAUCAAACAGUUCUGUGAACAUUUCCCACUGACUGUCAAGCCUGUUCUUGUCUUGUGACUGCUCUGUUCUGGUCUCUGCUUUGAGUCUAUUUUAACUGAUUGCUAAAAUGCCUUCUUUUACCUUUGUACUAGGCUUUUUGAUCCCCUUGAGGACGUAACACACAUAAGAGGAAGUGCCCUGGAAUAUUUCAUAACAAUGAAUUACUGGUGAAAUUUUAACCUUUUCAUGUACAUUUUGCAAUAAAUAUUCAAAAAUAUUCAAUCA